GACGAACGCUGGCGGCGUGCUUAACACAUGCAAGUCGAGCGGAAAGGCCCUGCUUUUGUGGGGUGCUCGAGUGGCGAACGGGUGAGUAACACGUGAGUAACCUGCCCUUGACUUUGGGAUAACUUCAGGAAACUGGGGCUAAUACCGGAUAGGAGCUCCUGCUGCAUGGUGGGGGUUGGAAAGUUUCGGCGGUUGGGGAUGGACUCGCGGCUUAUCAGCUUGUUGGUGGGGUAGUGGCUUACCAAGGCUUUGACGGGUAGCCGGCCUGAGAGGGUGACCGGCCACAUUGGGACUGAGAUACGGCCCAGACUCCUACGGGAGGCAGCAGUGGGGAAUAUUGCACAAUGGGCGGAAGCCUGAUGCAGCAACGCCGCGUGCGGGAUGACGGCCUUCGGGCUGUAAACCGCUUUCGCCUGUGACGAAGCGUGAGUGACGGUAAUGGGUAAAGAAGCACCGGCUAACUACGU
rnacentral:rRNA from 1 species